CACGCUUAACACAUGCAAGUCGAACGAGUACGACCUAGUUUACUAGGAACCGGCUAGUGGCGAACGGGUGAGUAACGCGUGGGAAUCUACCUAUUAGUAUGGAAUAACAUUUAGAAAUGAGUGAUAAUACCGUAUACGCCCUAUGGGGGAAAGGAGCAAUCCGCUAAUAGAUGAGCCUGCGUCAGAUUAGCUUGUUGGUAGGGUAAAGGCCUACCAAGGCGACGAUCUGUAACUGGUUUGAGAGAACGAACAGUCACACUGGAACUGAGACACGGUCCAGACUCCUACGGGAGGCAGCAGUGGGGAAUAUUGGACAAUGGGCGAAAGCCUGAUCCAGCGAUGCCACGUGAGUGAAGAAGGCCUUAGGGUUGUAAAGCUCUUUCAGAGGUGAGGAUAAUGACGUUAACCUCAGAAGAAGCACCGGCUAACUUCGUGCCAGCAGCCGCGGUAAUACGAAGGGUGCAAGCGUUGUUCGGAAUUACUGGGCGUAAAGGGUGCGUAGGCUGCUACAUAAGUUGAGGGUGAAAUCCCAGGGCUCAACCCUGGAACUGCUCGCAAAACUGUGUGGCUAGAGUAAGAUAGGGGAUAGUGGAAUUCCCAGUGGAGGGGUGAAAUCCGUAGAUAUUGGGAGGAACACCAGAGGCGAAGGCGACUAUCUGGGUCUUUACUGACGCUGAGGUACGAAAGUGUGGGGAGCAAACAGGAUUAGAUACCCUGGUAGUCCACACUGUAAACGAUGAAUACUAAAUGUUUGCCUAUGGGGUGAGUAUUGAAGCUAACGCGUUAAGUAUUCCGCCUGGGGAUUACGGUCGCAAGACUAAAACUCAAAUGAAUUGACGGGGACCCGCACAAGCGGUGGAUCAUGUGGCUUAAUUCGAUGAUACGCGAAGAACCUUACCAGUCCUUGACAUCCGACUUAAUACCACCAGAGAUGGAGGUAGACAGUUAGGCUGAAGUCGAGACAGGUGCUGCAUGGCUGUCGUCAGCUCGUGUCGUGAGAUGUUGGGUUAAGUCCCGCAACGAGCGCAACCCUUGCCUUAUUUUGCCAGCAGGUUAAGCUGGGCACUAUUAAGGGACUGCCGAUGUGAAAUCGGAGGAAGGUGAGGACGACGUCAAGUCAUCACGGCCCUUAUGGACUGGGCUGCACACGUGAUACAAUGGCAGGUACAAAAGGUUAACGAACUCGCGAGGGGGAGUAAAUCGUGAAAGCCUGCCUCAGUUCGGAUUACACUCUGCAACUCGAGUGCAUGAAGUUGGAAUCGCUAGUAAUCGCAGGUCAGCAUACUGCGGUGAAUACGUUCUCGGGUCUUGUACACACCGCCCGUCACACCAUGGGAGUUGGUUUUACCUUAAGACGGGGAAAUAACC
rnacentral:rRNA from 1 species